GCAGAGAAUGUAACAUAUUAGAGGAGUGAACCAGAUUUUAUGAUGCCCAGUUCUUGGUUCUGACUUGGUGUGAAGUCUACGUGAAUGAUUCACCUUAAUUUGAAGAACCCCCCCUCAAUUCUGCAGUUGAUGAUAACUGAACUUGUAUGCUGAGGACUCCUGUGUGCAAAAUCAAUGAAUCUGAAAUUACAAAUGCCUUUUUUUUUUUUUUUUUGCUUUGCUUUCUUUCUUUUUCUUUGCUAUUUACAGCUAUACUUUAGGUUUGGGAGAAGUGUUACUGGUGAAUUUUUAAACGAAGGGGCAAGAGAUGUGUCAAUUCUUAAAAUCAACUAAGGACCAAUAUUUGGAUUUUUAAUGUUAAAAUUGUUAUUGGUACUAGUUUUAAGUGUAUUUCAAUUUUUACUAACCGUGACAUUAGGUUUUGUAAUUACGAAUAUUACAAAUCAAGUAAUUAUUACAAGAAAGGAGGUACUUGAUAUUUGCUGAAAAUUGUAAAUAGUUUGUUUUCACUGUUCAAGUCAGCUAUCUGCAUCUACAAACAUGCAAACUUAAUGACUUCACUUAAAAUUAAUAGUGUUUAUUUGUAGUUGUUUGGAGUUUAUAGAGUGGUUUUGUGUCUUGUAGCUCUUGGGCAGUGUGGCCGCCAGGGCAGGGCAAUAUUAGCUUUUAUUUUGUUCAGUUUUUUGUCAAGUGGGCAUAAAUACUUAUUCUAUAAAGGAAGAUUACUAGCUAGGGAGAGCUUGGGGAAGCUGUGGUAUAGUUGUGGUUGGAGAAGUUGAACUGGCUGCAGUUGUGCAUCUUGAGUAAGUUUAAUAUUCUUAGGAUAUCAUACCUCUAAUAAUAAAUUUAUUGGAUACUAAUUUUAAGAUACUAGUUUAUGAGGCCUAUUUUUCAGGGAUUGGAGUAAAAGACCACCCCAUCCUCUUCCUAAUGUAGUAAUCUGUCUGCACACAUACUGUUUGCAUUUUCAUUGUAGGUACACAAGAUUACCAAUGGUUAUAUUUAGAAUCUAGUUAUCAAAAGGUAGAUAUGUAGUUUCAUUCUGGUUCCAUUAGGCCUCUGCAAUUUUGCUUCAGGACUAAAAGUAUUUGAAACCUUGAUCAUGGUAUAUCUAGUUUUCAAUGGGCCUGGCUCUUAAGUACUUUUAUAAAUUCCUGUUACUGGAUGACCAUGGUCCAUCACUCCACUCAUUCCUGACUGACACCAGAACCCGUAAGCAGCAGAGUCUGCCUUAAUUCAUGGAACUGUUUCUAGCAGAUGGAGUUCGUUUGCAUAGAGAUUGGCUUUCCAUUUGGUGGACCUAAAUUCAAAUUCUGGCUCUUCAAAUUGGCUGUCAAAUGACCUUGGGCAAGUCAUUUAACUUCUCUGAGCCUUGGUUUCUGCUUUGUAAAAUGGGAUUGUAGUACCUACCCAUACAGAUGUAGUAAAAUAUCUAUAUAAUAUAUUUAAAAUAAAUAGAUUACAUACACUAGAUAGAUUAGAACAAUGUCUGACUUACAGUACCAGCUUAUGAAGUGUUAGCUGUUUAUCUUAGAUCCUGGAAAUAGUCUGAGCAGAGAUACACGUGCUGGAGGUUUACUGGGAGUGCUCUUGGCAUCAUUCCUAGUGGAGGAGGGAAGGAAGCAGAAUUGGGCAGAAGCAGGAGUUGAACUGUGUUGCAUCUGUAACAGAGACCCCAGUUGACCCUCUCUUGGGGAGCUCUGGAGGUGGGAUGGCCUUUCAGAAUUAUCUCACCUUAAAUAAUAGGGGCAGGGCCUUCUUGUACACACUGACUCCCAGUUGACUGAUCAUUUCAACUUGGGCUCCCUACAGGAAGAGAGUAUGACCUUGAGGGUGGCAUCUCUUUACCUGGAAACCCUUUGUGGAGAAGGACUCGACUGAGAAGCUUCAGCUCUCAGUGAAAGGAGAGCCAUUCUUAUUCCCCUAGCAUUAUGGGUGUCUUCAUUUAGACCACCAGUACCAUUCACAUAAUACAGGUGUGGGAUAAAUAUUUCUCACUAACAACUAAAUAGACUUUGUGGAGGAGACUGGGAAUUAACCACCUUUAUAACAAUGUUUCCAUGGGAAAAUGCGUUCUGAAUUCCAUAUAUCUGUUUACAAGUAGAUUUUUUUGGAGUACCACCUGCUCACUAUGCACAGGAUUUGUAUUUUGCUGCAUAUUUAGGUCACUAAAGACACUUUUUAUAACCCAGGUUUGUAGUAUAUUUUAAGUAGUUUCUUUUUAGAUGUUUACUUUAAUUCCUACUACAUUUAAAUUACCUAUAUCCAUCAGAAGGAAAAUGAAAAAUGUUUGCUUGCUGUUUGUUUUCAAAUCAAGGAGUAUCUGUUGAGGAUUUAAGGUAUAUAGACUACCAUUAUAAUCUUAGAAAACAUUUUCUUGCCUUAUCUAGAAGUCAGUUUUUUGGGUCUUCAGAAGUAUUUGCCUUUGGAUGUUGUCUUUUGAAAUUCACCUUUAUAAUGGAGAUUGGCAGAAAAUAUUGCCUCAUGCAUCAAAGAUUCUUCCUGUACACUUUGUGUAUUAAAGUGAAGAGCUCUUCUGUGCGCCGUUCAUGGCACUCUAUGCACAGUCUCGUCUUUCUCUCAUUCUUUACUUGUUACAGGACCUGUGAUCUGUCCUUAAGUUCUAGAAACUAAACCUUCAAUGUCAAUUUUCCUGUAAGUCCAAAAAUUUCAUUCUAUGGAGAAUUGAAAACAGGAGAUAAAAUGGGAAAAUCUCUUGCAGCUUAAUCCUCCUAUGAGUUUACUUCAGGCUUUUAGCUAUGAAUAAUUUAAAGAACUUGAAGGUAUCAGAAGAGAUUCUUUACAGGGAAAAAAAAAAA
ensembl:lncRNA